ACAAUAUACAACGAACAUAAAUCUAAUAACAACACGAUAUUUGACAGGACAGAUUACGAGACUUGUUACAAGACAAACAUAUAGAUUUCCAUGUCCUUGGAUCAUCAACGUUAAAAACGUCUUCCAACGCUAACUUGUAAUAUUUUGAAAGUCCGUUUUUGAAUUGUCCUAAACUAAUGUUAUUGCUUGUCAAACGUUUUGGUAGUGCGUUCCAUAGUCUCUUUGUUCGGUUGAGAAAUGACCUUUGGUAGGUAGUGGUCUUGCAUUGUGCCGUUGUGAUUGACAGGUGAUUGGGAUUAGACGACCUGGUUUGUCUUCUGUUGUUAU